ensembl:misc_RNA Y_RNA Y RNA
AGCCUGGGGUCCGAAGGUAGUGAGUUAAGGCAACUGAUUGUUCAUAGCCAGUUACAGAUUUAACUCCUUGUUCUACUCUUUCCCUUCUUCUCACUACUACACUUGACUAGUUUUAA